AUCUUCACCUGGCACUGGAGAUGCCAUGAUCAUGAAGGCGGUUUCCCAGGCCAAGAAUUAGCACUCAGAUGUGCUGGCCUCUGCGAUUUUCCCCAAACUCAGGAAACUCAGCUGUAUAAUUUGUGGUAAAGGGGGAUUUGGUUCCCACU
rnacentral:snRNA from 1 species